rnacentral:tRNA from 1 species
CUGCUUUAAAACAACGGGCGUUUAGAUACUCUUUAAAUUCUUAUGAAUCUUAACGAGUAUGAAUUAAAAAAAGGCUUUAUGAAGAAAGCACUUUAAGCUUUUCCAACGAUUUAAGAUGAUACCGGGGAAGGUUUUCCGGUUUAUCCCGGAGGGCUUGUAGCUCAGUUGGUUAGAGCGCGCGCUUGAUAAGCGUGAGGUCGGAGGUUCAAGUCCUCCCAGGCCCCCCAAUUAAUGCUCGUUUUUUGCUUAUCUUGAGCGUUAUGAAGCUUAAGCGUGUCAAAGCCUCUUUAAUCUUUGUUCAUAGUUUAAAGAUUUAAUUUUAACGUCCCUUCAAGGGUGCAGAUAAAUUUAAAGAAUAAAAAUCAAAUUUAAGCAAUACAAAUCAAAAUAAUAUUGAUUAAAAGAGGAUUAAAAGAGGACAAGUCAUUCAAGUUGAUCAAUUUUCUUGAGAUUGAUUUGAGAGAGCAUUCUUUAGGGGCCGUAGCUCAGCUGGGAGAGCACCUGCUUUGCAAGCAGGGGGUCGUCGGUUCGAUCCCGUCCGGCUCCACCAUUUAGGUCAUCAUCAUGUUGUAAGAA